rnacentral:lncRNA from 1 species
CUUAUCGGUUCUUUUCCCUCCCCAAGUGUAGAGUAGCCAAACGGGCACGUCCUUGGUUAACCUACCUGCCGCUCC